GGGCAAGCGUUGUCCGGAAUCACUGGGCGUAAAGGGCGCGCAGGCGGUUUUUUAAGUCAGGUGUGAAAGUUCGGGGCUCAACCCCGUGAUGGCACCUGAUACUGGAAGACUUGAGUAUGGGAGAGGCAAGUGGAAUUCCUAGUGUAGCGGUGAAAUGCGUAGAUAUUAGGAGGAACACCAGUGGCGAAGGCGGCUUGCUGGACCAAAACUGACGCUGAGGCGCGAAAGCGUGGGGAGCAAA
rnacentral:rRNA from 1 species